UACGUAGGGGGCAAGCGUUGUCCGGAUUUAUUGGGCGUAAAGAGCGUGUAGGCGGCUUUACAGGUCCGUUGUGAAAACUCGAGGCUCAACCUCGAGACGCCGGUGGAAACCGUAAGGCUAGAGUCCGGAAGAGGAGAGUGGAAUUCCUGGUGUAGCGGUGAAAUGCGUAGAGAUGGGGGAGAACACUCGUGGCGAAGGCGGCCAGCUAGACCAGUUCUGACACUGAGGCGCGACAGCGUGGGGAGCAAACAGG
rnacentral:rRNA from 1 species